AAGGAGAGACCCGACCAUGGCCUCUCAGCGGCGGUUUGUUUGGUUGCUGGCGUCCCUGAAACAUCUGAGGAGAUAAAAUGGCAGCUGGAGCUGCCAGCUGAUCGAUUAUGGACAUCGAGGCCUACUUGACCUACGAGGAGGCUGCAGUGACGGCAAGUAGGCCGCUGGAGUGCCAUGUUUGAAAUUGCUGCGUUGGUUAUUCGAGCAGCACACAAGGAGAGACCCGACCAUGGCCUCUCAGCGGCGGUUUGUUUGGUUGCUGGCGUCCCUGAAACAUCUGAGGAGAUAAAAUGGCAGCUGGAGCUGCCAGCUGAUCGAUUAUGGACAUCGAGGCCUACUUGACCUACGAGGAGGCUGCAGUGACGGCAAGUAGGCCGCUGGAGUGCCAUGUUUGAAAUUGCUGCGUUGGUUAUUCGAGCAGCACACAAGGAGAGACCCGACCAUGGCCUCUCAGCGGCGGUUUGUUUGGUUGCUGGCGUCCCUGAAACAUCUGAGGAGAUAAAAUGGCAGCUGGAGCUGCCAGCUGAUCGAUUAUGGACA